CGAUCAUCACUCUCAAGGUCAAGGUGCUUUACACUUGUCCUCUCCCAGCAUUCAGCACUUCAGACACUCAACACCCCACCCAGACGACAGCCUUACCCCGACCUGAUGAGAAGGAUGGAUGACCAAAGGACAAACUGGAGAGUGGAGCUGUUUUCCAACUAUGGCAGUGUCUUUAGCAAUCCUGGAACAGCUGAGAGUGGACAGAGCUGCACAGAGGACCAAAGAUCCACUCUCAGCA